UGUGCAUAUGAAAGUGCCUCUUUCAAGAUAUUAAAAUCAUUUCAAACUGUAUUGGGUUCUGACUAUAAUUUUUCAUGUGUUCAACAAGGUAAAAAUUCCACAACAAUGAGCGAUGAGGAUGGGAUUGCAAAGCUGAUGGACAAAAUAAUUGACUGAUCAUCCCAGAUUAGCGAACCGGCUCUACCCUGAAGAUUCAGGGAUAGAGGAUUAUUUCUAAUGAAGUCUACACUGACGUGAUCCCAAUGAAUCUGAUGUAUGAAUUGGAUGAAUAAGUUGAAGGAAGAUGACUGCCACAGAUAUGUCUUACACACACAAAAAAAGUGUUCUCCCUUUGCAGAAGAUCACUACAGUAGACACGUCAUAGAUAUGAUUAAAAACAUGGGCAGAGGAGCGGUCAAAAGGAAGGCAUGCAUCCCAUUCUAGAGGGGCCCUUUGACCAUGUGAUGUUUCACAUCGUCCAAAGACAAGAAAAUAUUGUCUAGUACUGGUAGACAUGUUCUUAAAUUGAUAAAGAAGAAACUGGCAAACCUUUGUGAGGAAACAGGCCUGAUAUUGGAUACAGGCACUGCCUGUUGUCCUGAUGUACACGAGAAUGAGAGUAAGAGACAGGACCAAACAGCAUACAAGAUACUGCAAGACCCCCACUGUUUUGUGGGUUGUUGUCAAAAUAUCUGUUUACAUGUCAAAGCAGCACUCCCGGGGCCAGCUAAGGGGCCAUUGCACACCAUUGUGCCAGGAGAUUUAGUAGUAAUCAAGGGUUUCAGGAGGAAGUAGUGGCGAGCUAAGCCAUGAAAGUAGCUGAUUGUGCCAUUUGGGUGCAUGCAACCAUGGGCGUUGGAAGCCAACAAAAAGUGGGUGGGUCCCCUUGUCAAGGCCCCAUAUAAACAAUUUAACCUACUGCAGAUUUGAUUGUUAUAUUCUUCUAAUUAGUUUACUUUUAAUUAAACAACGGCGUUUAUUGAUAUAAUUAAUAGUUAAUUGAUAUACAAAAUAAUUUGUGAGAUGUAUGCUAUUUCAUCAUGUAAGCAAAGUUAACAGCGAUUACAAGGUAUUUCGUUUCAUUUCUUUAAAGUGUUUUAUGCAUCGUCUGUACGUAGUCAUAGCUCAUAAAUAGGCGGACUACGAAUAAACCACGUUUAGCCCAGAAAUAACCAUGAAUUUAAUUACAUGUUGUUUUGCCAAAAUGAUUUGUGAGAUGUAUGAUAUUUAAUAAUGUAAACAAAGUUCAAAGCAAUUAAGGUAUUUUGUUUCAUUUCUUUAAAGUGUUUUAUGCACCGUCUGUACUUAGCCACUAUUUAGCUUACAAAUAGACCGACUACGAAUAACCCACGUUUAGCCCAUAAAUAACCAUUAAUUUAAUUACAUGUGGUUUUUGCCAAAUAAUUGUGAGAUGUAUGGUAUUUCAUUGUGUAAGCAAAGUUAACAGCGAUUACAGGUUUGUUUAAUUUUUAUGCACCGUCGUACAUAGCCACUAUUAAGCUCAUAAAUAGACCGACUACGAACAAACCAUGUUUAGCCCAGAAUAACCUUGAAUUUAAUAAAAUUUUGUUUUUGCCAAAAUAACUUGCAAGAUUUAUGAUAUUUCAUCAGGCAUGCAAAGACACCAAUGAAUUUAAGAUGUUUGGUUUUAUCUGAAUAUCUGCUGUCACGCAUAACAUUCAUUAUUUGACCAUAUUUCAAAGAUAAACAAAAUCCAGUUACAACUCCGAACCGCUAGAUGGCAGCAGUACACAAACACGAGGCCAAAUCUCGCGAAAAAGAUUUACGCUGUUUGAAAAUCAACAACAUCAGCGAGCAGCCAGGAGGAAAGCAAUCUACCACACUCGUUUGGUCUUGUGUUAAAGGUGUGCGAAACUGGAGGGAGAAACUUGAGAGACCGUGUCGGUAGAAUGCUGGACAGAGUUCAACAUAACUGGUGGUGGUCCACUGUAGAAGCAAGCAUUUGAAAAAAACAUCAGUUCUCAGUUAUUAAAGAUGCUGUGUUGAACAACUUCCCAGCAGCAACAGAACUGGAAGUGAAGGAUGCAAUGGGGGCAUUUCAAACAGACACCAGGGAGGAUGGGGGGGUAUAGAAAUUAGUACAAUUAAUAUGCUGAAGUGAACUUAAGAUAGUUUGUAAAUGUUUAGAUGUUAUUUCAUUUUUAAAAUUGUAUUUUGUUAU